rnacentral:rRNA from 1 species
CCCUUAGACACUCUAGGCGGCACGCGCGCUACACUGGGUGGGAGAACGUGUUACUGCCAUCGAAAGGUGGGGUGAAUCACGAAUCCUUGCCCGUGAAUGGGAUAGUUUGUUGCAAUUUUCGGACUUGAACUAGGAAUCCCUUGUAAGCAUGCUCAAGAAUAGCGUGUUGAAUACGUCCCUGCCGUUUGUACACACCGCCCGUCGUUUCUUCCGACUGAUACUCAUUGUGAGUUGCAAGGAUCCUUCAUUGGAGAAUUGCCGCGAAUGCUUUGUAUUGGAGGAAGAAAAAGUCGUAACA